rnacentral:rRNA from 1 species
GAGUUUGAUCGUGGCUCAGAUUGAACGCUGGCGGCAGGCCUAACACAUGCAAGUCGAGCGGUAGAGAGAAGCUUGCUUCUCUUGAGAGCAGCGGACGGGUGAGUAAUGCCUAGGAAUCUGCCUGGUAGUGGGGGAUAACGCUCGGAAACGGACGCUAAUACCGCAUACGUCCUACGGGAGAAAGCAGGGGACCUUCGGGCCUUGCGCUAUCAGAUGAGCCUAGGUCGGAUUAGCUAGUUGGUGAGGUAAUGGCUCACCAAGGCGACGAUCCGUAACUGGUCUGAGAGGAUGAUCAGUCACACUGGAACUGAGACACGGUCCAGACUCCUACGGGAGGCAGCAGUGGGGAAUAUUGGACAAUGGGCGAAAGCCUGAUCCAGCCAUGCCGCGUGUAGUGAAGAAGGUCUUCGGAUUGUAAAGCAUUAAGUUGGGAGGAAGGGCAGUAAAUUAAUAACUUUGCUGUUUUGACGUUACGACAGAAUAAGCACCGGCUAAACUCUGUGCCAGCCCG